AGCUCCAAUAGCGUAUAUUAAAGUUGCUGCAGUUAAAAAGCUCGUAGUUGCAUUUCCGAGGCAAGGGAUUAGUCCGACCUUUGGUGGGUAUUUAAUCCUCUUGCCUCGUCCUUGAGUGGUGCUUCUUGGUAUUAAGUUAUCGAGGAGAUAGCCGCUCAUCGUUUACUGUGAGAAAAUUAGAGUGUUCAAAGCAGGCUUAUGCCGUUGAAUAUAUUAGCAUGGAAUAAUAAGAUAGGACCUCGGUACUAUUUUGUUGGUUUGAGAACCAAGGUAAUGAUGAAUAGGGACAGUUGGGGGUAUUCGUAUUCAGUUGUCAGAGGUGAAAUUCUUAGAUUUACGGAAGACGAACUACUGCGAAAGCAUUUGCCAAGAGUGUUUUCA
rnacentral:rRNA from 1 species